GACGAACGCUGGCGGCGUGCCUAAUACAUGCAAGUUGAGCGCUGAAGGUUGGUACUUGUUCCUACUGGAUGAGCAGCGAACGGGUGAGUAACGCGUGGGGAAUCUGCCUUUGAGCGGGGGACAACAUUUGGAAACGAAUGCUAAUACCGCAUAAAAACUUUAAACACAAGUUUUAAGUUUGAAAGAUGCAAUUGCAUCACUCAAAGAUGAUCCCGCGUUGUAUUAGCUAGUUGGUGAGGUAAAGGCUCACCAAGGCGAUGAUACAUAGCCGACCUGAGAGGGUGAUCGGCCACAUUGGGACUGAGACACGGCCCAAACUCCUACGGGAGGCAGCAGUAGGGAAUCUUCGGCAAUGGACGAAAGGCUGACCGGGCAACGCCGCGUGAGGGAAGAAGGUUUUCGGAUCGUAAAACUCUGUUGGUAGAGAAGAACGUUGGUGAGAGUGGAAAGCUCAUCAAGUGACGGUAACUACCCAGAAAGGGACGGCUAACUACGUG
rnacentral:rRNA from 1 species